AGAGUUUGAUCCUGGCUCAGGACGAACGCUGGCGGCGUGCCUAAUACAUGCAAGUCGAGCGAGCUUGCCUAGAUGAUUUUAGUGCUUGCACUAAAUGAAACUAGAUACAAGCGAGCGGCGGACGGGUGAGUAACACGUGGGUAACCUGCCCAAGAGACUGGGAUAACACCUGGAAACAGAUGCUAAUACCGGAUAACAACACUAGACGCAUGUCUAGAGUUUGAAAGAUGGUUCUGCUAUCACUCUUGGAUGGACCUGCGGUGCAUUAGCUAGUUGGUAAGGUAACGGCUUACCAAGGCAAUGAUGCAUAGCCGAGUUGAGAGACUGAUCGGCCACAUUGGGACUGAGACACGGCCCAAACUCCUACGGGAGGCAGCAGUAGGGAAUCUUCCACAAUGGACGAAAGUCUGAUGGAGCAACGCCGCGUGAGUGAAGAAGGGUUUCGGCUCGUAAAGCUCUGUUGGUAGUGAAGAAAGAUAGAGGUAGUAACUGGCCUUUAUUUGACGGUAAUUACUUAGAAAGUCACGGCUAACUACGUGCCAGCAGCCGCGGUAAUACGUAGGUGGCAAGCGUUGUCCGGAUUUAUUGGGCGUAAAGCGAGUGCAGGCGGUUCAAUAAGUCUGAUGUGAAAGCCUUCGGCUCAACCGGAGAAUUGCAUCAGAAACUGUUGAACUUGAGUGCAGAAGAGGAGAGUGGAACUCCAUGUGUAGCGGUGGAAUGCGUAGAUAUAUGGAAGAACACCAGUGGCGAAGGCGGCUCUCUGGUCUGCAACUGACGCUGAGGCUCGAAAGCAUGGGUAGCGAACAGGAUUAGAUACCCUGGUAGCCCAUGCCGUAAACGAUGAGUGCUAAGUGUUGGGAGGUUUCCGCCUCUCAGUGCUGCAGCU
rnacentral:rRNA from 1 species